UACGGAGGGGGCUAGCGUUAUUCGGAUUUACUGGGCGUAAAGCGCACGUAGGCGGGCUAUUAAGUCAGUGGUGAAAUCCCGGGGCUCAACCUCGGAACUGCCAUUGAUACUAUUAGCCUUGAAUUAUGUUGAGGUUGGCGGAAUAUAACAUGUAGCGGUGAAAUGCUUAGAUAUGUUAUGGAACACCGAUUGCGAAGGCAGCUGGCUAAACAUAUAUUGACGCUGAUGCACGAAAGUGUGGGUAGCGAACAGG
rnacentral:rRNA from 1 species